GAACUGUGCAAACGUUAUUCGGAAUCACUGGGCUUAAAGGGUGCGUAGGCGGGUUUAAAGGUCUGAUGUGAAAAGCCCACGGGCUCAACCGUGGGAAUUGCGUUGGAAACCAUAAGCCUUGAGGAGAUCAGAGGUGAGCGGAACUGAUGGUGGAGCGGUGAAAUGCGUUGAUAUUAUCAGGAACACCGGUGGCGAAAGCGGCUCACUGGGAUCUUUCUGACGCUGAGGCACAAAAGCUAGGGGAGCGAACGGGAUUAGAUACCCCGGUAGUCCUAGCUGUAAACGAUCAGUACUAGUCUGUGGGGGCUUCCACACCCUCUCGGACGUAGCGAAAGUGUUAAGUACUGCGCCUGGGGAGUAUGGUCGCAAAGGCUG
rnacentral:rRNA from 1 species